CGAGGCUCGAGUCGGCCCGGUUCACCUGAUGCGCGUGCACCUUCAAACAGUUACGUCAGAUCACAUACUCCAGCAGCUCUUUUAAGAAGUCAUCUCUUGUAAAAGCCAUAACUUGUUCCUAUUUUUCCAAACUGUAAUCCAUAAUUCAUUUACACAUAGUUUUUGCUCUCUCUCUCUUUCUGUGCUUCGUGACAUUUUUAAAUCUCAUAAUCUCAUAUUUUUUUACCUAUUCUUUCAGGAAGCUGCUAGAAUUAACAGGGAACUCAAUGCUGAUCUUGAAGAAGCUGCCAAGGAGGCUGAACAAGUCCUUCAGUGAUUCAACUCUUCACACUGAAAGGGAAGACCAAAGGAAGGCCUGUCCUGGGAUUUGAUUUUGGCCGUAUUGUGCGUUUACGGAGAAGACCCAGAGCUGCAAAGGCAAAUGGUACGUCUUUGUUGGUCUGAACACCUUGACAGAACUGUACUGCAGAUACAUUUUGCACAGUAUUUGAUUUUUCUUAAACUUUGCUUAUCACACUUAUCCCACGGCCCCAUCAGAAAGAACCCCAACAAAGUGUCAUGUCGAAGUAGUAAUCAUUUAUACAAUUUAACAAGGCAGCAAAUUCAUAUGAUUUUGUACAAGCGUACUCGUAUAAAAUUCUACCACUUUUACUCCUACUUCUGUCAUUGCCUCAACUUUCAUGCAAAUUGUGCUCAUAGUAAGUAGUCAGAGUUUAUAUCAUAAAGAUUAUAUUAAGUUAAUUGUAUUCUUUAUUAAUCUUUACAAAUUGGCGCAGUCUCUUCCCGUUCUAACAGUACAUGAUAUCUCUCCACUCAAAGUCUGCCUUUCUUUCCAUGUUGAUUUUUAUUGAACACAUCUGUCUAAAAAGCAAGAGUCUGGAAAUGCUAGUUUAACUCGUCACGUGACAAAUCAGAUCUUCAGUUAAUUGGCCAAAUCAGAUCACUUAAAGCUGUUCACAUUAACUCUCUCAAGAUCUGAUUAAACAACCCCACAAACAGCAUCACCAGCUCCACUUAUUAAUAACCAGACUGACUUUAUUUCUGUCAGACAUCUACAGAAGAUCUUAUUGAGAAUUAACUAAGGUUUAGAUGUUGAUUUAUUGUUUCAUUUGAAGUAACCAUGUUAGAGAUCAGUGUCUGCUUUAGUUGGGCUCUUGGUGUGCUGAAGGUGUUCCUGGAGAACGCGAUCCGCGAUGCCGUUACCUACACCGAGCACGCCAAGAGAAAGACCGUCACCGCCAUGGACGUCGUGUACGCUCUGAAGCGACAAGGACGCACUCUGUACGGCCCGUAGGGUUGUGGGGCCCUAUAGGCAAGAUCAUGAAAAUGGACCCCACUUUAAAAACUGUCAUAGCAAUUUGACGAGUGAAGAGAAAACACAUAAAAUGGCAAUUUCAAUAUUUAAGCAUAAAUGUGCAUUAAGUGUA